AACGAACGCUGGCGGCAGGCCUAACACAUGCAAGUCGAGCGCCCUUUCGGGGGAGCGGCGGACGGGUGAGUAACGCGUGGGAAUAUGCCCUUCUCUACGGAAUAGCCUCGGGAAACUGAGAGUAAUACCGUAUACGCCCUGUGGGGGAAAGAUUUAUCGGGGAAGGAUUAGCCCGCGUUGGAUUAGGGAGUUGGUGGGGUAAUGGCCUACCAAGCCGACGAUCCAUAGCUGGUUUGAGAGGAUGCUCACCCACACUGGGACUGAGACACGGCCCAGACUCCUACGGGAGGCAGCAGUGGGGAAUCUUAGACAAUCGGGGCAACCCUGAUCUAGCCAUGCCGCGUGAGUGCUGAAUGCCUUAGGGUUGUAACGCUCUUUCAGCUGGGAAGAUAAUGACGGUACCCGAAGAAGAAGCCCCGGCUAACUCCGUG
rnacentral:rRNA from 1 species